UACGUAGGCAGCGAGCGUUGUUCGGAAUUACUGGGCGUAAAGGGCGCGUAGGCGGUCUUGUAAGUCUUGUGUGAAAUCCCUCGGCUUAACUGAGGAACUGCACGGGAUACUGCGAGACUUGAGAUCGGGAGAGGGAAGCGGAAUUUCCGGUGUAGCGGUGAAAUGCGUAGAUAUCGGAAGGAACACCAGUGGCGAAAGCGGCUUCCUGGUCCAGCACCGACGUUCAGGCACGAAAGCGUGGGGAGCAAACAGG
rnacentral:rRNA from 1 species